UGUCGCUGGUGGAGCCUGCGGACUUCGAAGCCGCAGCAGGCCAC
rnacentral:tRNA from 1 species